AGCGAACGCUGGCGGCAGGCCUAACACAUGCAAGUCGAACGAAGUCUUCGGACUUAGUGGCGGACGGGUGAGUAACACGUGGGAACGUGCCUUUAGGCUCGGAAUAACUCAGGGAAACUUGUGCUAAUACCGAAUGUGCCCCUCGGGGGAAAGAUUUAUCGCCUUUAGAGCGGCUCGCGUCUGAUUAGCUAGUUGGUGAGGUAAAGGCUCACCAAGGCUACGAUCAGUAGCUGGUCUGAGAGGAUGACCAGCCACAUUGGGACUGAGACACGGGCCAAACUCCUACGGGAGGCAGCAGUGGGGAAUCUUGCGCAAUGGGCGAAAGCUUGACGCAGCCAUGCCGCGUGGAUGAUGAAGGUCUUAGGAUUGUAAAAUCCUUUCACCGGUGAAGAUAAUGACUGUAGCCGGAGAAGAAGCCCCGGCUAACUUCGUGCCAGCCGCCGCCGUAAAAC
rnacentral:rRNA from 1 species